rnacentral:rRNA from 1 species
CCUACGGGGCGCAGCAGUGAGGAAUAUUGGUCAAUGGGCGGAAGCCUGAACCAGCCAAGUAGCGUGCAGGAUGACGGCCCUACGGGUUGUAAACUGCUUUUAUACGGGAAUAACGCGCCUUACGUGUAGGGCUUUGCAUGUACCGUAUGAAUAAGCACCGGCUAAUUCCGUGCCAGCAGCCGCGGUAAUACGGAAGGUCCGGGCGUUAUCCGGAUUUAUUGGGUUUAAAGGGAGCGUAGGCCGCAUGUCAAGCGUGCUGUGACAUGUCCGGGCUCAACCCGGGCCUUGCAGCGCGAACUGGCGUGCUUGAGUCCGCGGAAAGCAGGCGGAAUGCGUGGUGUAGCGGUGAAAGGCUGAGAUAUGACGAAGAACCCCGAUUGCGAAGGCAGCUUGCUGCAGCGGAACUGACGCUGAUGCUCGAAAGCGCGGGUAUCGAACAGGAUUAGAUACCCUUGUAGUC